rnacentral:rRNA from 1 species
GACGAACGCUGGCGGCGUGCCUAAUACAUGCAAGUAGAACGCGGGUGCGAGCGGGUGAGUAACGCGUAGGUAACUGCCUCAUAGCGGGGGAUCACGAUUGGAAACGAUAGAUAGUACCGCAUACUGUGGGAUGGACCUGCGUUGUAUUAGCUAGUUGGUGAGGUAAAGGAUCACCAAGGCGACGAUACAUAGCCGGCCUGGGAGGGUGAUUGGCCAAACUUGGACUGAGACACGGCCCAGACUUCUAAGGGAGGCAGCCAUAGGGGAACUUCGGCAAUUGACGGAAGGCUGGACGCGCAAAGCCGCGGGAGUGAAGGAGGGUUUCGGGAUGUAAAGCUCUGUUGUUAUAGAAGCGGUAACUAACCAGAAAGGAACGGCUAACUACGUGCCAGCAGCCGCGGUAAUUC